rnacentral:rRNA from 1 species
AUACGGAGGAUCCGAGCGUUAUCCGGAUUUAUUGGGGUUAAAGGGUGCGCAGGCGGCCAUUUAAGUCAGCGGUUAAAUCGUGGGGCUCAACCCCAUUCUGCCGUUGAUACUGGGUGGCUUGAUUGCGGUCGAGGUUGGCGGAAUUUGUUGGGUAGCGGGGAAAUGCAUAGAUAUGACGAAGAACACCGAUUGCGUAGGCAGCUGACCAGACCGCAAAUGACGCUCAUGCACGAAAGUGCGGGGAUCGAACAGGAUUAGAUACCCUGGUAGUCCGCACAGUAAACGAUGAAUACUUGUUUUCGGCGAUAUAAUGUCGGAGGCAAAGCGAAAGCGAUAAGUAUUCCACCUGGGGAGUACGCCGGCAACGGUGAAACUCAAAUGAAUUGACGGGG